rnacentral:lncRNA from 1 species
AGAGCGUAGCUCCGUAGAUAGCGUCCUACUACCGAGACCAGAGAUAGUAGUACCCUGAGUCGGCUUAACUUAGGGAUAUAAAAAGAAAAGAAAAGAAUCGAAUUGUAAUAAUUUCGUUAAGACUGAUUGUAUUUGGAAGCUAAAAAGAAUUAAGAAUGUAAUGGUGUAAAAUGCUAAAGUGAGAUGUAUGCUUGUAAUAGUUAGUAUUUAUGUUUUCGAUACCUUCCUUCUGCAAUCAUGUAUGAAAUCUGUUUCUGGUUGGAACCUUGUGAUUUGUACUUUUGCAACGCCUUAAACGUACAGGAAAAACUUUGUCCGCGGUACAGAAAAAAUCCUGUCUGGUCGGCUGUCUGUUGGCGUGCCCGAAUCCAACC